AUUUCAAAAAAAACCUUUUGCUUGACAACAUUCGAACAUUCGAACGGCCUGUGAACUGCUCUUGCAACAAUGAAUUUUUAUGAACUCUUGCGCCCCAUCACAUAUUUGUGUGGCGACCCUCGUGUCGCGAGCUUUGCCAAUGACCUACUUACCAAAAAACGGCUGACUCGGCGCGGGGAUGAAACUGGCGGAGGCGAAUGGAAAGAAAGCGAAUGGCAAAGGGAAGGCGGCGGAAAAGCGUGUCUGUCUGCUGAACCGAAGGAGGAGAACAGAGCACAAUGCGAUUGUUUGAACUGGAUGGACGGGAACGUGGACCAGGACACAUUGGAGGCAUUUGGCCGAUGCCAAAAGCUAAAAAGUCGCGACGCAAAGCAACAAUAAUUGGCGCAAGGUGGCCCAGUCAAGGAAAAACACGCAGCCACAUGGAUAGACAGACAAAUAGAGAGACAUACACUUAAGGCGGCUCACUGGGGCGAAAAGGAUGUGGCAGGAUGGCGGAUGAAGGGGUCCUGAGUGACAGAGAUGACAAUCAACAAAAGGACCCUCACACACACACACACUCGUGCACAUACAACACAUGCACACACACACACACAUGGAAAAAAUGACAGGAAGCAGCGACGCUAGCGCUGACUGCAACCGAAAUCAAAAUCAAAAUGAGAAUCGCAAAAUGCAAAAUGUAAAACGCCGCAAAUUGCUUGUAGGCAACACGGACAACAACAACAACAACGACAUCGCUGGCGACGGAUGGCAAAAUGGAAAUAGAAGAUGAACGGAAAAGCUGAGCGGUACCACGAUGAAAAGCGGUUACCCUAGACAAACCGAGCACUACUACUUGAACAAAGGGCACGAGACACAAAAUCCACUUUAUUUAAUACAUGUUUUAAUACAGUUUCAUAAAAAUCAUAACGAUUAUAAAUAAAUAAAUAAAUAAAUAUAAAUAAAUGAGGGAUAUCUUCAACUUUUGGUACAGU
ensembl:ncRNA lncRNA:CR45622 long non-coding RNA:CR45622